GCUAUGGAGUUACAAUGGCAUAGCUAUGGUGCUGUAACUGGGCAUCUAUAGUGUCCAUGGUAUAGCCAUGACCACAGUCUCUCCCAACUUCACAUACGAAGUCUGUGGCUGAGCCACGAAGAUAACCUCUCUCUCCUGGGUCCCAAUGCAGUGGUCAAAACAGGAGAACGUCCUUUCUCUUCUUGCAACCAUCUUCCUGAUUUACUGUGAUCCAGUGUGCUGAAUUAGGCAGUACCUCAGCACAUCUAAGCUGGAGAUUCACUCUCAGAACCAUCAUCUUGCCAAAACUUUACUGGAUUUAAACAUGGAAAUGCAGAGACUGGGAAAUGAAAAUGAACUGUCAGCAGCUUCAGAAUCCAAGGCACUGAACAUUGCUGUAAGCCCAGAAUAAUAAACUGCGUUUCAAGACAUAAACCCUGAAGAUGAAAUAUACAUUCCAUAAAUGAUUCUGACAACAACAUUAUGGAUAAGCUGCACAAACUUCUAGAUCCAAUUUGGUAGCAGAAUACAUGGCAUUAUUUGAAAAUUACAGCAAAGUUCAAGUGUGAAUCUUGGGGGUGGGGAAUGCUGUAUGUAUUAGGGUUUGAAAUCUUCCUGUCUUGUGGGAAAUGGGGGUGGAGAGAGAAGUAAUGUCUAUAAAGUGUGGGAUCUUUCUGCUUCAUUCCCCAUUCCUCUAUAUGUUUACUGUUCUGCCAGUUUUAUUGCCUAGGGUUACCUUAGCAUUCAGAACCCAGGCCCAUUUUAUUUCAUUACUGUCACUUCAAGUUUUCAUUAGUUUAAAUGUUUUUUCCUCCAGAGUGAAAAUUUUUAAGUGUGCCCUGGAAUUAAUUCAUUUUAUGUUGGUUUUUUUUAAACAAAAUAUUUUAGUACCAAAUAACAAUUUAAUUUUCUUUACUAGACUCAAAUAACUGAAAGAUCUGAGGAUGAUUCAUAAAAGCAGACAUAUCUAGGCCAUAAAACUCCAGUGUAUUUAAAAUGUAUAUAACUGUAAUUGAACUUUUAGCAAUAAAAACUAGUGUCUAAAUGCU